GACGUAGGGCGCGAGCGUUGUCCGGAUUUAUUGGGCGUAAAGAGCUCGUAGGCGGCUCGUUGCGUCGGCUGUGAAAACCCGCAGCUCAACUGUGGGCUUGCAGCUGAUACGGGCGGGCUGGGAUUCGGUAGGGGAGACUGGAAUUCCUGGUGUAGCGGUGAAAUGCGCAGAUAUCAGGAGGAACACCAAUGGCGAAGGCAGCUCGCUGGGACGGUACUGACGCUGAGACGCGAAAGCGUGGGGAGCAAACAGG
rnacentral:rRNA from 1 species